UGGUCGUCAUCAUCUGAUUUUUCUCGUCCUGUUUUGGAGCCAGAAAUUGACAAAGACAGUCCGUGAGUGCUGUGUGUGGAUGUUGGAACUGUGCGAUGGAGAGGCCAAACUUGACGAUGACCACGUCGGUGACGUUGCGCGCCGGACGCGACCACUUGUUGUAGCCCCCAAACAAACUCCUGAAGAGCUCGUCCUCAGUGUGGACACGAGUCCAGUCUUCAGCCAGCACUGACAGAGAGAUGGAGAGGAGAGAUUAUUCCCAGCUCUCCAGGUUUUCUGACAGCCAUCGCUCAUCAUCAGAGGAUGAGAUUUAAUCUCAAUUUAAAAGCUUUGAACUCUGGCAAGCAAUCUGGCAUCACCAGCAAGCAAUUUAGGAUUAGCCAGUGCAAGAAACAGUGAGCCAAGAGCACAAACUGUGCAAAAUGUGUGUAAUGCCAGUUUUUGUGAUUAUAUUGGCUAUUUAUAACCGACAAAAUGAUGUUGCAGGUAAGGGUUUGCCAGCGGGGGAGAGACAGAUGUGUUGCCGUUUGUGUCCCAGGAUUCAGACAUGAGACGCUGAAUGUCUGCAGAGUACUUUGUGGUUUUGUGAUAUUUAUCCUGUUACUGUAUCUUGUAUUUACAACUAAUAAUUGUGGUUUAACUCGUCUGUUGUUGAUACGUAUCAGUUUCUGCUCAGCAAGACAUU